rnacentral:rRNA from 1 species
GACGAACCGUGCGAGCGUUGUUCGGAAUCACUGGGCUUAAAGGGCGCGUAGGCGGUUGACCAAGUCCGGGGUGAAAUCUUUCGGCUCAACCGGAAAAUAGCCUUGGAUACUGGUCGUCUGGAGGGAGGUAGGGGCAUGCGGAACUUCCGGUGGAGCGGUGAAAUGUGUUGAUAUCGGAAGGAACGCCGGUGGCGAAAGCGGCGUGCUGGACCUCUUCUGACGCUGAGGCGCGAAAGCUAGGGGAGCGAACGGG